UACAGAGGUCUCAAGCGUUGUUCGGAUUCAUUGGGCGUAAAGGGUGUGUAGGUGGCGCCGUAAGUCGGGUGUGAAAUUUCGGAGCUUAACUCCGAAACUGCAUUCGAUACUGCGGUGCUUGAGGACUGGAGAGGAGACUGGAAUUCAUGGUGUAGCAGUGAAAUGCGUAGAGAUCAUGAGGAAGACCAAUGGCGAAGGCGACUACCUGGCCUGUUCUUGACGCUGAGGCGCGAAAGCUAGGGGAGCAAACGGG
rnacentral:rRNA from 1 species